GUUUUUUUCAUUUUCUGAGACCGGAAGUGGUCAUCAGCAAAUGCAGAGCCAAACGACAAGAUUCUCAGAGGGCGGAGUCAGAGAGCAGCGAUUGGUCAGACCACAGAGAAUAUAGAAGACAGCGCGCUAGCUUAUCUAGUCUGUGUACCUAUGGUCGGCACGUCUGGUAGCGUCUCUGGCUGCUGUUGACCUUGUUUUUGGAGUAAAACACGGUGGAAGCUGAAUUAGUGAGGAUGACUCCUGCUCCUGUCAUCUCUAAGCUCCUCACACAUCUUUACCUGCACAUGAGGAAAAUCACUCCUGUAGAAUGCAGAUGUUCAGAGGGAGAUGAUGCCACAUCUGGUCCAGCUGAUGGAAGGUCUUGAAGUUCUCUGACUGGCCUCGACUGAAGACGGUCGUCUCACUGGAUUUAAGGUUCAGAUGCUCAGUAACAAACUCCACCAAUGUGCCAACAGGGAAGCUUUAGGUUUAUUAAAUGUUGCUAUGAAGGUAUCACUGUUUUUCUUUGUGAAUGCAAUGUGCUCCAACUGAAACUUGAAUUAGAACUUAGAAGUAAAUCCUUCCAUCUGAAAGGAUCUAGAUGUAUUAAUAACCUCAUAACAUUCUAAUUUUUAUUCCAGUCUUGGCUGGAAAUAGAAUCUCUGUAUUGAUUCAGGUAAAAACUGAACUUCACAGCAUGUUGGAGCAAAACAACCAGAUGAAAACUGUGAUGGUGUUGGAUUGUCAGACCGUAAUGUUGCAGCUCAAAGCAGCUUUUCUAUCUCAGUUCAUUCUGACAUUCAGCUAUGAAUCAACACAGCAGAUGGUGAUCCAUGCUGUGGAAGUCUCACAUCUCCCGAUUUAAUGGAGCUGCUUUGCACUUUUUACACUGUUUAUUCACCAACACUUUAUUUAAUAAAAGUCCCAUCUAGUUUUUAUGAGGAAUGUGAUGUUUUAAUUUCUCUGUGAAUAACUGCAGUCUAAUGCAACAGCUGGAGUUGUAACAUCUGUCCUGAUAUUGAUCAUGAAGUAUUGAUCAGAAUACUUAUGGUCAGCAGUCAUCCCUGAAGUUUUACAUUAAAAUCUUUACUUGUGUUGUGAACUUUGGUAAGAAGCAGAAAUGUUAGCGUUGCCAUGGAUACAUGAGUGUUAAAUUCUGUCCAUGUUUCCAUUUUGGGAAAUGCAGUCCAGUUCCAGAAUGUGGAAGAAUUUAGUCUCACAAUCACAGACAACAAAUAUUAUCUGAAAGUCAGGUUAUUGUUGUUUAUCAGCACAAUACAAAAAGAUUAAUGUUAGAAAUAUUCCAGUUAAGACUCAUAUCAUGAUUUAUGUAAAUUUACCUCAAUAAUAUGAAUGUUCAGGUUAAGAUUGUACAGUGAUAUUUACUAUUUAAGUUUAGCUGAUUAAAGUUUAUGACUGCACUAAAAUAUUAUUUAAAUUGACAUCAUUAUUAUAAUAUUUAGGGUCACACCGUACAGUAUUGAGAUUAAGAAGUCAAAUAUUCUAUAAAAUGUAAAUACACUGAACUCAUUUGGAUAUAUUUAAGUGAAACUCUACAAUAUUAUUUGACACAAAUCUAUCUAAAUCAAAAUUUUAAUAAUUUUCACACCAAACAUUUACUGGACUGAUUUAAAUAUUAAAAUCACUCCUUUCUAAUCCUCUGCUGUACGUUCAAACCUGAGGCCUUAAAUAGAAACACACAAGUAUCUGAUUGAAGGAACUUCUGUAGAGUCCUGGUUCCAGAACAUGAUGAUAGAAUUAUAGACAAACUUUAACAAAAUCUGCCUGAGAGUUUACAGUUUUUUAUGUUGGAUUUCUUCAGUAAUUUAAUGACAGUUAUCAGCAAGAAUCAAGUGUUCAUUUGAUGAACUUAAUUUCCUAAAACUUCCAGAAUUGGAGCUCAUAUCUUUGGCAGCUGUAAAGUUUCUGCUCCUUCAAAGUUCACAACACAAUGAAUGAAUUCCUAAAACACUCUCAAUGCUGGAGAGCGUUUGUGAUGCUGAAGCAGUGACCAGUUUUUCUGUUUCUUCUCUGGAGAUGCACAAUGAGGGACGUCUGCAGAGACUGAGAAAGAGUCUCACCACAUCCUUACAUGAGGAAAAAGACUUUAUUGAAGACUACAAUGAGAAAAACUAUCCAGACAGCAGACGGCUGCAUUCAAGGCUACAGGAGGAGCCCUACGAGGACGAGCCGGUCCACCUGAUGGUGGCCAGUCGCUGUGGUUCAAAGCCAACACCGACUACGUGGACUUCUACUGGACCACACGGAGGCCUUCAAACCAGACCAACAAGUUCAGCGACUCCCCGACUCGUGGGUCUGAGGACGCCGCCGAGCCUCGGCCCAGCCGGCCUCCUGUCUGUGGAUGUUUGAGUGCUGAGAGGUUUGUGGAUCCAUGUGAACGUUCUGUGUUGAAACAGCAGCUUUGGACUCAGUAACGCCGGGAAAAACCAAGAGCUCCUUUAUUUGUGACUUCCACUAAUAAAACUGAUGAAAAUAAGUUUGCCAGGGUUCUGACUGAUAACACAUUAUUAAAUAAUGAAAAUAACAGUUUAAAUGUUCCUUUAAACAAUCCUUUUAGGUCUACAUUUCCUUUACACUGACUUCUUGGUAUAUGCACAAGUAUUUUGGGUGGAAUAUACCAUUAAACCUGAUGUUCAAGGGUUCUUCUGGGAAUAUACCAUUAAACCAACCUUUUAGGUAAAUAUUCCAAGAUGUUGGGUAGAAUAUACCAUCAGAUCAACCUUUUAGGUCUACAUUGGAAGAUUUUAGAGUAGAAUAUUACUCCAAACCAUCCUUUAGGUCUACAUUUAAGGUGGAAUACUCCUUUACGCCAAGAUUUUUUGGUGUACGUUGAAGUAUUUUAAGUGAAAUAUUCCUUUGAAUGAACUUUUUAAGUUUAUGUUCAAGGAUGUUGGGUGGAAUAUACCAUCAGACCAACCUCCAAGGUCUACAGUAGUGAAUUUUAGGUGGAAUAUACCAUUAAACUCACCUACAUUGGACGAUUUUAGGUGGAAUUUUCUUCCAAACCGUCUUUUAGUCUACAUUUAAGGAUGUUUAGGAUGGUAUAUUCUUCCAAACCAACUUCUCAGGUCUACAUUUCAGGUGGAAUAUUCCUCCAUACUAACUUUUUUGGUCUACAUUGAAGGAUUUUUUUCUGAACCACCCUUUCAGGUCUAUAUUUGGGGUUUUAGGUGGAAUAUUCCUUUUAACCAGCCCCUCAGGUCUCUUUGAGGAUUUUGGAUGGAAUACUAGGUUAAACCAACAUUUCAGGUGCAUGUCCAAGGAUUUUUGGUGGAAUGUUCCUUUAAGGUGGAUGUUUGAGUACCUUGUAGGUGGACUACUUCCUGAAACCAACCUUUUAGGUCAACAUUCAAAGAUUUAAGGUGGAAUAUUCUUUUAAACCAAACUAAAUUUCAUGUUUUGAUCAUUAUCAAUUGAGAAACCUCAAUCCAGACUCCCCAUAAUGACGUUUGAGAUUUAUGCUGCCCUUAUUUGUUUAGUCCAGACUAAAUGACAGAAAUCCACAACUGUAAUUUUAUUUCAGGACUCGGUUAUUAAAUGUCAAAACAAUCCAUGUGACUCUAAAAACUCAACAGCUUUACAAACUAAGAUUAAACUCUCCACAAGGAUCCAAAAUAAGUUGAACUUCUACGUGAGAGCUUGAAUUAUUCUUCAUCUACUUCCUGAAAAGUUUGGUCAAUAAAAAAGACAAAAACUAGUAUUUUCAGCUGAACUAAAGAUAGACUUUGUGAUUUUUCUGUUCACAUGUUGUGUUGUUGUAAACUUACUCUUUCAAAUAAAUAUCCUCCUAACCCCCUGGAAACCAGCGUUUGUCCUGUUUUUGUGUUGCUCCUUGGCGACCCUAGACAGCCGGGUCCUAAUGUUUUUUGAGCAACACACCAUACUAUGAUGUUUUUACAAUGA
ensembl:lncRNA